CCUACGGGUUGCAGCAGUGGGGAAUAUUGCACAAUGGGCGCAAGCCUGAUGCAGCCAUGCCGCGUGUAUGAAGAAGGCCUUCGGGUUGUAAAGUACUUUCAGCGGGGAGGAAGGUGUUGUGGUUAAUAACCACAGCAAUUGACGUUACCCGCAGAAGAAGCACCGGCUAACUCCGUGCCAGCAGCCGCGGUAAUACGGAGGGUGCGAGCGUUAAUCGGAAUUACUGGGCGUAAAGCGCAUGCAGGCGGCCUGUUAAGUCAGAUGUGAAAGCCCGGGGCUUAACCUCGGAAUUGCAUUUGAAACUGGCAGGCUAGAGUCUUGUAGAGGGGGGUAGAAUUUCAGGUGUAGCGGUGAAAUGCGUAGAGAUCUGAAGGAAUACCAGUGGCGAAGGCGGCCCCCUGGACAAAGACUGACGCUCAGAUGCGAAAGCGUGGGGAGCAAACAGGAUUAGAUACCCUGGUAGUC
rnacentral:rRNA from 1 species